rnacentral:rRNA from 1 species
GACGAACGCUGGCGGCGCGCUUAACACAUGCAAGUCGAACGGAAAGGCCUGCUUUCCCUUGUGGAUUGCGGGUACUCGAGUGGCGAACGGGUGAGUAACACGUGAGUGAUCUGCCCCCAACUUGGGUAUAAGCCUGGGAAACUGGGUCUAAUUCCCGAUAGGACUGCAGGGUGGUGCCUGUGGUGGAAAACGAUUUUCUAGUGGUUGGGGAUGAGGUCGCGGCCUAUCAGCUUGUUGGUGGGGUAAUGGCCUACCAAGGCGGCGACGGGUAGCCGGCCUGAGAGCGUGGACGGCCACAUAGGGACUGAGAUACGGCCCAUACAGCUACGGGAGGCAGCAGUGGGGAAUAUUGCACAGUGGGCGGAAGACUGAUGCAUCGACGCCGCGUGGGGGAUGACGGCCUUCGGGUAGUAAACUCCUUUCGACCGCGAGGAAGCCACCUGGUUGGAAGGGUGGUGACGGUAGUGGUAGAGGAAGCUCCGGCUAACUCCGUG